CAUGAAUAGGUCAAAAAUGAACAUAGACAUAUAGAAUCAAUAGAAAAGUCAAACCAAGAGCUUCAAUAGAGGCACACUAUGAUCAAAAGACAUCGAAUUAGGCUGAGAAGAAUCACAAAAACCAAAGCAUAGGACAAAGUCAAUACCCAAGUAACCUAGACUAACUCAGAAUCCAAACAAUAAUGUCGAAAAACUAGGCUUUUAGCAUAAACAUGGUCGGGUUAAAGCGAUCUUCAUGAAAUCGGUUAAAACAUACAAGAAACAGAAGAUUACACACUAAAAAUCACCAAACAUUUUGGAGAAUUUUUUUGGGGAAACCCUAGUUUGAAAACAUGGAGAUUCAAACAAACAAGAAGUCAUCGAAGUCGAAUAACCUGAAGUACUAUAGUGUUGAAAAUUGGUCAGUCGUAGAGGAAUAAGAGAAACUUAAAGAAAAAUCACAGAAACUUGAAAACCUUUCAAGUAUGCUGAGAUUUAAGCAGUAAAUAGUAAAGAACCCAAAAUAUAGUGCUAAAAUUGGUUAACAGUAAAGAAACAAGAAAUCUUUAAAAAAAAGUCCUUGACAAACUCAGAAUCCUUCCAGAUCUACAAAGAUAGAGAAGGAUUCGUGUCCAAAGGUUAAGGUUUUGAGGAGAGAGGGGAAGGGGUAAAGAGAACCUGGUUUUGAACCAUGAAACUUCAAUAGAAACUACUCACAUACCAUGGACGAGCUCUUGAAGAGCCUUGAACGAGAUCUGGACCAGAUCUCUUCAAGGUUCUUCCACAAAAAUCACAUAAAUCGAAUAAUCAGGGAGAUAUGAGAUAAGUAGAGGCUUCAUACAACCACAAGGUGCCAUAGAUCGGACAUGGAUUCAAAGGAUUUGGGCUAAUUUUGGGUGAAGGCGAUUAGGGUUUAGGGGUUGGUUUCAGAGAGAACCAGAGAGGAGGGGAUCCAAGGGCGGCUC
rnacentral:lncRNA from 1 species